AGAUUGAACGCUGGCGGCAGGCCUAACACAUGCAAGUCGAACGGUAACAGGGAGCAGCUUGCUGCUCUGCUGACGAGUGGCGGACGGGUGAGUAAUGUCUGGGAAACUGCCUGAUGGAGGGGGAUAACUACUGGAAACGGUAGCUAAUACCGCAUAACGUCUACGGACCAAAGUGGGGGACCUUCGGGCCUCAUGCCAUCAGAUGUGCCCAGAUGGGAUUAGCUAGUAGGUGGGGUAACGGCUCACCUAGGCGACGAUCCCUAGCUGGUCUGAGAGGAUGACCAGCCACACUGGAACUGAGACACGGUCCAGACUCCUACGGGAGGCAGCAGUGGGGAAUAUUGCACAAUGGGCGCAAGCCUGAUGCAGCCAUGCCGCGUGUAUGAAGAAGGCCUUCGGGUUGUAAAGUACUUUCAGCGGGGAGGAAGGCGUUGUGGUUAAUAACCACAGCGAUUGACGUUACCCGCAGAAGAAGCACCGGCUAACUCCGUGCCAGCAGCCGCGGUAAUACGGAGGGUGCAAGCGUUAAUCG
rnacentral:rRNA from 1 species